GGUUACAGCUUCUUCAAAGUCAUCCUCAUAUUGCCCUUGGUGCAGCACUGGGUCUGUUAUGUUUGAUUGGUGUCGUAGCUGGGCUUAUCGCUUGGUUUCGUCGCAGGAAUGAGGGUUUCGCUUUCAGUACUUCAAGGCUGACGAUGAUGACAAUGUUGGCCUGAAACCAGAGGACAAUCCUGCUCUGGUCUCAGUACCGAAUCCACUGUAUGGUGCAUAUGGUACAGUUUCAGAUAAUACAACUGAACCCUUUGAGGAUGACGAUGAAUACGAAUCUUAUCAUACACGCAGAACAUUCUAGAAGACUGAGAAGCUGGACCUCACUGCUUUUUACUGUCAGCUCAAAUUGUGCAAUUUUAUUGCAGCUUGUGAUGAUGCUAUGGAUGGGGG